rnacentral:miRNA from 10 species
CCACUCUACGUUCUCCAGUGCGUUGACCACUGAGACGGGUGGGUGGGGGGUGGGGUGGGGGGGGUUG